ACUUGGAUAACCGUAGUAAUUCUAGAGCUAAUACAUGCAGCGACGCCCGACCGUUUCACUACGGAAGGGCUGUAUUUAUUGGAUACCAAAACCAUCCUUCCCUCGGGAAGUUUUGUUUGAUGAUUCACAAUAACUGAUCGGAUCGCCACUGUGGUGGCGACAGGUCAUUCAACAUUCUGCCCUAUCAGCUUUCGAUGGUUGUGUAGUGGACAACCAUGGCCAUAACGGGUAACGGAGAAUCAGGGUUCGAUUCCGGAGAAGGAGCUUGAGAAUUGGCUACUACAUCUAAGGAAGGCAGCAGGCGCGCAAAUUACCCAAUCCCGAUUCGGGGAGGUAGUGACAAAAAAUAACAAUACCGGGCCUUUUUGGGCUUGGUAAUUGGAAUGAGGGAGAGUUAAACGGACCAUCGAGUAUCCAUUGGAGGGCAAGUCUGGUGCCAGCAGCUGCGGUAAUACCAGCUCCAAUAGCGUAUAUUAAAGUUGUUGCAGUUAAAAAGCUCGUAGUUGGACUUGUGUGCGCUGUCCGCGGGUGGCCUGCGCCCAAAAGGGCGUUUCGGUUCGGCCCCGGUGGCGCCUUGAAAUCUGCAGCUGGGGGGACGUUGGCCUUAACUGGUCGGCGACCGCACGCCGGCUGCUCGGUUACUGUGAGAAAAUUAGAGUGUUCAAGGCAGGCAUUGGGUGCAAUUGAAUACAUUAGCAUGGAAUAAUAAAAUAUGGCUCCUGCCGUAUUUUGUUGGUUUUGACUGGUGGGAGUAAUGAUUGAUAGGGACGGUUGGGGGUGCUAGUAUUGAGCGGCCAGAGGUGAAAUUCAUGGAUUCGCUCAAGACUAACUUAUGCGAAAGCAUUCACCAAGGACGUCCUCUUUAAUCAAGAACGAAAGUUGGGGGAUCGAAGACGAUCAGAUACCGUCGUAGUCUCAACCAUAAACUAUGUCGACUUGGGAUCGGCGGUAGUUUUUUCAUUAAGACACUGUCGGGACCACGGGAGAAAUCAAAGUGUCUGGACUCUGGGGGAAGUAUGGUCGCAAGGCUGAAACUUGAAGGAAUUGACGGAAGGGCACCACCAGGAGUGGAGCCUGCGGCUUAAUUUGACCCAACACGGGGAAACUUACCAGGUCCAGAGAUAUAGAGGAUUGACAGAUUGAAGCUCUUUCUUGAUCACUUCGGUGGUGGUGCAUGGCCGUUCUUAGUUGGUGGAGUGAUUUGUCUGGUUAAUUCCGUUAACGAACGAGACCUCAGCCUGCUAGUGUAGUCGGCUGGAUU
rnacentral:rRNA from 1 species